rnacentral:rRNA from 1 species
GGCCGCACAGCGAGAACAUGUGGUUAAUUCGAUGAUACGCGAGGAACCUACCGGGCUGAAUUGCAUAUGCAUAGGCCGAGACGGUCUUCCUUCGGGGCUUAUGUGAAGGUGCUGCAUGGUUGUCGUCAGCUCGUGCCGUGAGGUGUCGGCUUAAGUGCCAUAACGAGCGCAACCCUUGCUACCAGUUGCCAUCACGUUAUGGUGGGCACUCUGGUGGGACUGCCGGUGACAAGCCGGAGGAAGGUGGGGAUGACGUCAAGUCAUCAUGGCUCUUACGAGUUGGGCUACACACGUGCUACAAUGGCAACUACAAAGAGGAUCGAGGCUGUGAGGCCAAGGCAAUCUUAAAAAGUUGUCUCAGUUCGGAUUGUUCUCUGCAACUCGAGAACAUGAAGUUGGAAUCGCUAGUAAUCGCGGAACAGCAUGCCGCGGUGAAUACGUUCCCGGGUCUUGUACACACCGCCCGUCACGCCAUGGGAGUUGGUUCUGCCUGACGGCGUUGAGGUAACCUAGCAAUAGGAGCCUGGCGACCACGGUAGGGUCAGCGACUGGGGCG